rnacentral:misc_RNA from 1 species
UUGAAUCCUCAGGAUGUUGCUGGCCUUUCGGGGCAUGUGCACUCUGCCUUUCAAUUCACCUGUGAACUUAUUGUAGGCUGGAUGUAACAGUCUGUGCCUAUGUUUUUACUACACUCCUUAAAAAGUUUAUAGAAUGUCUUAUGGGUAGACCUUAUGGGUCAAAAAUUUGAAUAA